rnacentral:rRNA from 1 species
GAGGAAAGAGGGAGGGGGGAAGAAUACAGGAAAGUCGAGCGAACAGACGAGGAGCUUGCUCCUUUGACGUUAGCGGCGGACGGGUGAGUAACACGUAGGUAAUUUACCUAUAAGACUGGGAUAACUUCGGGAAACCGGAGCUAAUACCGGAUAAUAUUUCGAACCGCAUGGUUCGAUAGUGAAAGAUGGCUUUGCUAUCACUUAUAGAUGGACCUGCGCCGUAUUAGCUAGUUGGUAAGGUAACGGCUUAUGAAGGUAAGGAUACGUAGCCGACCUGAGAGGGUGAUCGGCCACACUGGAACUGAGACACGGUCCAGACUCCUACGGGAGGCAGCAGUAGGGAAUAUUCCGCAAUGGGAGAAAGAAUGACGGAGCAAAGCCGCGUGAGUGAUGAAGGUCUUCGGAUCGUAAAACUCUGUUAUUAGGGAAGAACAAACGUGUAAGUAACUGUGCACGUCUUGACGGUACCUAAUCAGAAAGCCCCGGCUAACUACGUC